UACAGAGGGUGCAAGCGUUGUUCGGAAUUACUGGGCGUAAAGGGCUCGUAGGCGGCCAACUAAGUCGGACGUGAAAUCCCUCGGCUUAACCGGGGAACUGCGUCCGAUACUGGAUGGCUUGAGUGUGGGAGAGGGAUGCGGAAUUCCAGGUGUAGCGGUGAAAUGCGUAGAUAUCAGGAGGAACACCGAUGCGAAGGCAGCUGCCUGGCCUGAACCACUGACGCUGAGGUGCGAAAGACGUGGGGAGCGAACGGG
rnacentral:rRNA from 1 species